AUGGCCCCCCGCGCCCCCCGCGCCCCCCGCGCCCCCCGCGCCCUGGCCCUGCUGCUGGCGAUCGGCGCCCUCGCAUCCGCGUGGCCCCCCCAAAACUCCAGCGCUGGCGAGGGGAGAGCCUGGGAGGGCUCGUUGGAGAGCAGCCCCCCGAAAUGGGACCUGGCGAGUGGAGACCCCCCGGGGGGACCCAGCAACAGCACGAGCGCCGGGGGGGCCGCGGCCGGACCCCAGCUAGAGCCCCCCGGGGCGGGCACGGCCACCACCGAGCCCUCGGCCGUGCCCGAGGGGUGCCCGGGCUGCACCGGCGAGGGCGAGGCCAGCGCUGUGCCCCCGCGGGCCGUGACCUGGCCCGGGGACGGGGGCCCGGUGCCGGUGGCCCUGGGCAGCCCCGAGGAGCCGGGCAGCGGUGAUCGGCCCACGCCGGCCUCCCCGCCCGGCCCGGGGGGUUUCGGGGGGCUGCCGGCCGCCCUGCCCAGCCCCCCCGGCCCCCAGCUCGCCACCGGCUCUGCCGAAUCCGACCUGCUGCUGGCGGCCGGGGGCUCGGCCGCGCCGCGGACCCCCGUGCUGGGCGAGCCCAGCCCCGUGCCCGCCGCCGGGGGGGACUCGGGGGCUGCCCCGGAGCUCUGGGCCGCCGCCUCCAGCCCGGCCCCGGCGCAGGGGGCCCGCGGCUGGACCGACCUGACGUGGCUGCAGGAGCCCAUCACCGCCGCCACGGGCCCGGCCAAGCCCCCGGCGGACCGGACGGGCUCGGACAUCAUCGACGUCGACUACUACGACCUGUUCGAGGGGGGCGAGGGACUGGGGGGCUUCCCCGGGGGCGGCCGGGGCGCGGCCGGCUCGGCGCGGCGGAGAGAGCCCGAGGGGGCGGCCACGCCCUGGGCCCUCCACGAGCUCUACGACGACUUCACGCCCUUCGACGACGCCGAUUUCUACCCCACCACCUCCUUCUACGCCGACGGGGACGACGAGGAAGAGCUGGAGGACGAGGAGGAAGACGAGGAGGAGGAAGACGGGGGGCUGGAGGACGAGAACGGCUACCGGCCGCCAGCCUCGGCCGUGCCCGGCGCCGCUCCGGCCCCGCAGGAGCCCCGGCCCACCGGGCACCGAGCCGCGGCCCCGCCGCCGCCGCCCGGGCUGCCCGGGGUGAGCCCCACGGCCUGGCCGCGCCCGGGGGAGCGGGGCCCGCCCGACAACGGCUCCGAGUGCCGGAGCGGGUACGUGCGGCACAACAGCUCCUGCCGCUCCCUCUGCGACCUCGUCCCCAGCUACUGCCACAACGGCGGCCAGUGCUACCUGGUGGAGAGCCACGGGGCCUUCUGCCGGUGCAACACGCAGGACUACACGUGGCACAAGGGCACACGCUGCGAGUCCAUCGUCACCGACUUCCAGGUGAUGUGCGUGGCCGUGGGCUCGGCCGCGCUCGUGGUGCUGCUGCUCUUCAUGCUCACCGUGUUCUUCGCCAAGAAGCUCUACCUGCUCAAGACGGAGAACAGCAAACUGCGCAAGACCAAAUACCGCACCCCGUCCGAGCUGCACAACGACAACUUCUCCCUCUCCACCAUCGCCGAGGGCUCCCACCCAAACAGAGAAGCGAAGGGCUUUGCGGAGCGCGAGCCGGAGGAGGAGCGUAGGUCCCUUUAGCCUUUCCCCACCCAUGGCCGCUGUUCCCCGUCUUCCGAGCGCCUUUAGCAGCCGUAGCCCUGGCCGGAGGCUCCGGGGCCGGCCCCUCCCCGCUGCCGACAGGAUGAACCUCGGGAUGAACUCGGUGCCGGGCUCUGACACGUCCCUCGUCCCCUCCGGAGCUGGAGGGUUCGGCACGCGGUGCCCGGGACGCAGCACUGCGAGGAUGAGGAGGGGUCAGCAGGGCCAACGCCCCUGGGUUUUUGGGGGUCCAGCAGCGGUGGAGCCGAUGCCGCCAGCUCCGGACCGGCCGGACGUCGCUGCCCAGGAGAUGGAGAAUCCUGUCCUUGUGUGACAGCGGCCCGACGAUCCCAGCGCUCCCCACAAGCUGCAGGACUCGCUGAAAUCCUGCCUGAAGGACGAGGAGCCCUUCAACAUCCACAACUCGACGUC